UACAGAGGUCUCAAGCGUUGUUCGGAUUCAUUGGGCGUAAAGGGUGUGUAGGUGGCGCCGUAAGUCGGGUGUGAAAUUUCGGAGCUUAACUCCGAAACUGCAUUCGAUACUGCGGUGCUUGAGGACUGGAGAGGAGACUGGAAUUCAUGGUGUAGCAGUGAAAUGCGUAGAGAUCAUGAGGAAGACCAGUGGCGAAAGGCGGGGUCUCUGGACAGUUCCUGACACUGAGACACGAAGGCCAGGGGAGCAAACGGG
rnacentral:rRNA from 1 species